rnacentral:misc_RNA from 1 species
AAGAAGAAGAAGAAGAAGAAGAAGGCAACUAAGGACCAAAAAAAUAGAGGAAAGAAUGGAUUCAUCGGCUUCUGUUCCACAAGCCAAUGCCCAGUCAUCUGCUUCAACUGUACCUCAGUCCAUUCCCUUUUCCCUUCAUCCUCCUUCAAGUUCUACAAAGACUUUAUCUUCGUCUCCUAACUUGGGCCCAUCAACUUCACACAUACCCAUCAAUACUCCUUUUCUUGUGCCUCCUGGGUCAGCUGGAACUCCUGGACCCUCUGGAUUGGCGUCAUGUGCUUCAAUGACUCUUCCAUCUGUAGCUGUUGAUUCUGCCUCAUCUUCAGUUCAGAGACCUAUCAUGCUCGCUACUACUAAUGCUUCAAAUCCUGUAGUUCAGCAACAAAAUUACGCUCCUUAUCCAUCUUUACCUGCUAUGGCUGCUUCCCCUCAGGGACUCUGGUUUCAGCCCCCACAGAUUGGUGGCAUGCCCAGGCCACCAUUUAUGCCGUAUCCUACUGUUUUUACUGGAUCCUUUCCGUUGCCAGCACAUGCCAUCUCUCGCCCUUCUUUCCCGUUGCCUGAUUCUCAACCUCCUGGUGUUACGCCUGUUGGAACUGUAGGUGCAAAUCUUCCGUCUUCUUCUGCUUCAGGUCAUCAGUUUAUUGGCACUCCAGAGAUGCAGAAAGAAUUACCUCCUCCUGGAAUUGAUGAGAAGGAUCAUAUCCAUGACAUUGGCUCCAAAGACAAUACUGCUAACAACGAACCAUUAGAUUCUUGGACUGCCCACAGGACUGAAGCAGGACUACUUUACUAUUAUAAUGCUUCAACAGGAGAGUCGACUUAUAAGAAACCUGCCGGCUUUAAGGGGGAGAUGGAGAAGGUUCCCAUGCAGCCAACUCCAUUUUCAAUGGAGAAUUUGGCUGGUACUGACUGGGCCUUGAUCACAACAAAUGAUGGAAAAAAAUAUUACUACAACAGCAAAACUAAGUUGAGCAGCUGGCAGAUCCCAAGUGAAGUGAUGGAACUGAAAAAGAAGCAGGAAGCUGAAGUAUCAAGAGAACAUGAAUUGUCACGCACUAAUGUCUUGACUGAAAAAGGAUCUGCUCCAAUUAGUCUGAGUGCUUCUGCUGUUAGCACAGGUGGCCGUGAGGCCAUAGCUCUUAGAGCGUCAAGUGCACCAGGAGCAUCAUCUGCAUUGGAUUUGAUAAAAAAAAAGCUGCAAGAUUCAGGAACUCCUGUAACUUCUUCCCCUUCAACAGUUUCAUUAGGAUUAGCAACAGCAGAAUCAAAUGGCUCUAGAGCUAUUGAAGCUUCAGCUAAGGGUUUGCAAAGUGAGAAUAGCAAAGAUAAGCCAAAGGAUGCUAAUGGUGAUGGUGAUGGUAAUGUAUCGGACUCCUCUUCGGAUUCAGAGGAUGAAGACAAUGGGCCUACAAAGGAGGAGUGCACUAUCCAGUUUAAGGAGAUGCUAAAGGAGCGCGGAAUAGCGCCAUUCUCAAAAUGGGAGAAGGAGCUGCCAAAGAUAGUUUUUGAUCCUCGUUUUAAGGCUAUCCCUAGUCAUUCUGCUAGGAGGUCCUUGUUUGAGCACUAUGUUAAAACACGUGCUGAGGAGGAACGCAAGGAAAAACGAGCAGCUCAGAGGGCUGCAAUAGAGGGAUUCAAGCAGUUGCUGGCAGUAGCAUCUGAGGAUAUUGAUCAAAACACUGAUUAUCAAACUUUCAGAAAGAAGUGGGGCAGUGAUCCGCGGUUUGAGGCUGUGGACCGCAAAGAUCGAGAGCACUUAUUAAAUGAAAGAGUUAUUCUUUUGAAGAAGGCAGCACAAGAAAAGGCUCAAGCUGAACGUGCAGCAGCUGUUGCUAGUUUCAAGUCAAUGCUUCGAGACAAAGGCGAUCUAACUGUCAAUUCCCGUUGGUCCAAGGGUUUGAGGGCACCUAGUGUUAUUUUACAACGCCAAGGAGAUCAUUUGACAGCAUUGGUUUGGUGAAGGAAAGCCUAAGGAAUGAUCCAAGGUACAAAUCAGUAAAGCAUGAAGAUAGGGAAGUUUUAUUCAAUGAGUACAUAUCUGAGCUAAAAGCUGCAGAAGAUGAAGAAGAACGGGAGGCAAAAGUUAGAAGGGAAGAGCAGGAUAAGUUAAAGGAGAGGGAACGGGAGUUGCGCAAGCGGAAGGAAAGAGAAGAACAAGAAAUGGAAAGGGUGCGAGUAAAAGUUAGGAGGAAGGAGGCAGUUGCAUCUUUUCAAGCUUUACUUGUGGAAUCAAUUAAGGAUCCUCAGGCUUCUUGGACAGAGUCAAAGUCCAAAUUGGAGAAGGAUCCUCAAGGACGUGCAACUAACCCUGAUUUAGAUCCGUCUGAUACUGAGAGACUCUUCCGAGAACACUUAAAGAUGUUGUAUGAGCGCUGUGCACAUGAUUUUAAAUCACUGUUAGCUGAAGUCAUAAAUACUGAAGCAGCUGCCCAGAAGACAGAAAAUGGAAAAACAGUUCUUGAUUCAUGGUCAACAGCUAAACGUCUUCUAAAGUCUGAUCCCAGGUAUAACAAGAUGCCUAGAAAAGAGCGGGAAAUCUUGUGGCGACGAUAUGCAGAUGACAUGUUGCGGAAGCAAAAGACAACACUUGAUCAAAAGGAAGACAAACAUGCAGAGUUAAAGAGUAGAAGUACUACUGAUUCAGGAAGAUAUCUGUCAGGAUCAAGGCGAACACAUGAUGGAAGAUAGAUCGUCAUUUUUGGUUAGAAAGUAGGCUCUUCUACUCAUGUAUCGAGGGGUUAGUUUCUGAUUCACUGUAUCAAGUAAGCUGAAUAGCUGAUUAUUAUUAUCAUUACUAUUUUUAUCUGCUUCUUUUUUCAUUGAAAUUUGUUAUAUCUGGACCAUAAGCAAUUAGGAAAAGAAAUAUGAAUUCUUUUACAUAAGCCUUCAGUCUUUUAUUAUUACUCAUCUACCUGCAGUGAGUUUUGACCCACGAUGAACUAUCUCUUCUGCUGGAGAUUUUGGUGCUUAUUAAAGUGAUUCUAGAUUGUUUUGUGUUUAAUAAUAUAUUCGAUGUAUGUGUGAAAUUUUAAAUCGAGCUUUAGAAAACACUUACGACUUUAGCUUAAAUGGAUUUGGGCUUCUAAUUUAUUUAUAUAUUUUUUUCUAGAUGGGAUAAUUACUGGUUUAUUAAAAUUUUAUUUUUUGUUAACAACGUUGUAG